rnacentral:rRNA from 1 species
GUUGAACGCUGGCGGCAGGCCUAACACAUGCAAGUCGAACGAGUGGCGGACGGGUGAGAAAUGUCUGGGAAACUGCUCGAUGGAGGGGGAUAACUACUGGAAACGGUAGCUAAUACCGCAUACCAUCGGAUGUGCCCAGAUGGGAUUGGCUAGUAGGUGGGGUAACGGCUCACCUAGGCGACGAUCCCUAGCUGGUCUGAGAGGGUGACCGGCCACACUGGAACUGAGACACGGUCCAGACUCCUACGGGAGGCAGCAGUGGGGAAUAUUUCGCAAUGGGCGCAAGCCUGACGCAGCAAUGCCGCGUGUAUGAAGAAGGCCUUCGGGUUGUAAAGUACUUUCAGCGAGGAGGCGUUACUCGCACAAGAAGCACCGGCUAACUCCGUGCCAGCAGCCGCGGUAAUAC